rnacentral:lncRNA from 1 species
CUUAAAGAACUAAAUACCUAUAAAGUAAUUAUUCAUUUGCUUGCUUCUAGACAAAAGUGUACUGACCUUUCCUCCAAGUUCUCGGAAAGCAGUAGUGAUGGAAAAUACACAUCAUGAAGGGAAAUUGAGAGGUCACAUUGCAGAAAAGGAAAUAUUCAGGAAAAUACAACGACCAAAGGCAGGGAACAGCUUCCAUACAAGCUGUGACUUGGGAGAGGGAAGUGAUAGAGCAGCUUGGCAAGCACCCAACAGCCAGCCAAGGUUAACCCACAACAGAUGCCACAAAUAGAUGACAUGGAGAUGGUGGACAUGAAGGAGACAGGCACAUAAUAAUUCUAAAAUCAUGAAUGCCGUGGCAAAAGGAGACACUGCAUGCUGCCUCUUCAAAUACAAGAAUUAGGGGCAUGAAAUUAAUCUGAGAAGACCAUUAUAAAACAGAAAAAACAAUAAAAUUG